rnacentral:rRNA from 1 species
CCUACGGGUGGCAGCAGUGAGGAAUAUUGGUCAAUGGGCGAGAGCCUGAACCAGCCAAGUCGCGUGAGGGAGUACUGCCCUAUGGGUUGUAAACCUCUUUUGUCGGGGAGCAAAAGCCGGACGUGUCCGGCUGUGAGAGUACCCGAAGAAAAAGCAUCGGCUAACUCCGUGCCAGCAGCCGCGGUAAUACGGAGGAUGCGAGCGUUAUCCGGAUUUAUUGGGUUUAAAGGGUGCGCAGGCGGAUUUUUAAGUCAGUGGUAAAAUCGUGGGGCUCAACCCCAUCCAGCCGUUGAAACUGGGGAUCUAGAGUGUGCGAGAGGUAUGCGGAAUGCGUGGUGUAGCGGUGAAAUGCAUAGAUAUCACGCAGAACCCCGAUUGCGAAGGCAGCAUACCGGUGCACAACUGACGCUCAGGCACGAAAGCGUGGGUAUCGAACAGGAUUAGAUACCCCUGUAGUC